rnacentral:rRNA from 1 species
UACGAGGGGGGCAAGCGUUGUUCGGAAUUAUUGGGCGUAAAGGGCGCGUAGGCGGCGCGGUAUGUCUCUUGUGAAAUCUCCAGGCUCAACUUGGAGUCUGCAAGGGAAACUGCCGUGCUUGAGUACUGGAGAGGUGAGUGGAAUUCCCGGUGUAGCGGUGAAAUGCGUAGAUAUCGAGAGGAACACCUGUGGCGAAAGCGGCUCACUGGACAGUAACUGACGCUGAUGCGUGAAAGCUAGGGGAGCAAACAGG